CAUGUUUUACGGGAAAAAAAAGCAACAUUAUAUCAUAGAAAAUGAAACAAAUGGAAUAGUGCUUAUGAAAACAAAUGGAAUGAGAAAAACAGUAAAGAAAUAAGAUUUAUUUCGAGGAGAAAGAUACGAUGGUGACAUAUAUAAUAAAAAAAAUUAGUGAAUAAUUACAAUACAAUACUCUCAAGUCUUAAGGCCAAACAAAAUCAACACAAAUUUUGGGAAGUUCUUCAAAAUCCUCAGCUAAAUUGAAGUCAGUGUUGAAAUUAGUUGAGGAAUUGUUGAAUACCCUUUGGUUGGAAACUCCUUUGGCAGCCACAACAGCACAAGAAUCAGCAACUGAAGAAGAAGGUGAAGUCAAAUAAUCAGUAUUUUCAUGUCUAAGAAACUCAGCUAACAAAAGAACGAGAGAAGCCAUUUGAUAAAAAAAAAAAUCUAAUGAGAGAGGUUUUCAAGAUUUUUCCUUUGUUUGAUACAAUGAAUUCAAGGCACACAAAUUUUUCCUAAUUUAUAAGCAAUCAAAAGUAGGUGAAUAGUAGUAGUAUUAAAAGCCGGUUUGGCUUAGAUACUAUACUCUGUGAUAUUUAUUUAAUAUAAGAAAACAAGGGGCAAACAAAAGCAGUUGGUUCAGGAAAUAUGUGGUGAAUCCUGGAGCUUUCGAUUUAGUUCAUGUUUAUACUUCUUUUUUCUAAUUUACAUGUCGUCUGUUAAAAAUAGGCAUUUUUGAAUACUUAUUGUUUCACAAAAUUAAUGUAUAAAUAAUAGAAUUUUUAUAAUGUAUAUAUUUGACCAACAUAGAAAAACUAAGUAAAUACUUCAUGUGUAUUAGUCAAUUAAUUAAUCAAAAUAAACUAAAUCAUAUUCAUUGAUUGAAAACUUUCUUUCACGAGAACAUUAAAUAAGAAUACAAUGAUAAAGUUAUAUAAUUUCUUAAGAAACAUGAAAUCUAAAAUUGUGACAACUAAAAAGAAACAGAAGGAGUAUUAAUUUAAUUAGUGAAGAGUGAAGACAUGAUACGUUCAUUUGAAUAUCUUAAUUAAUAAAUUUGAGAAAAUCUUAAUUAUUUAGUUGAUUGACUACUUAAACUCUCUCACCUUAUCGAUGAGGGUAUGAUUCCAAUAUUGUAAAUCCCCUCCUCUAUUUUCCCUUUCCC
rnacentral:lncRNA from 1 species